GACGAACGCUGGCGGCGUGCCUAAUACAUGCAAGUCGAGCGAAGUUUUUCUGGUGCUUGCACUAGAAAAACUUAGCGGCGAACGGGUGAGUAACACGUAAAGAACCUGCCUCAUAGACUGAGACAACUAUUGGAAACGAUAGCUAAUACCGGAUAACAGUAUUUCUCGCAUGAGAGAUAUUUAAAAGUUGGUUAUGCUAACACUAUGAGAUGGCUUUGCGGUGCAUUAGCUAGUUGGUGGGGUAAAGGCCCACCAAGGCGACGAUGCAUAGCCGACCUGAGAGGGUGAUCGGCCACACUGGGACUGAGACACGGCCCAGACUCCUACGGGAGGCAGCAGUAGGGAAUCUUCCGCAAUGGGCGAAAGCCUGACGGAGCAACGCCGCGUGAGUGAAGAAGGAUUUCGGUUCGUAAAGCUCUGUUGUUAGGGAAGAAUGGAUAUGUAGUAACUAUACAUGUAAGAGACGGUACCUAACCAGAAAGCCACGGCUAACUACGUG
rnacentral:rRNA from 1 species